GAGAAGAACGUAGCGAAAUGCGAUACUUGGUGUGAAUUGCAGAAUCCCGUGAACCAUCGAGUCUUUGAACGCAAGUUGCGCCUCAAGCCAUUAGGUUGAGGGCACGUCUGCCUGGGCGUCACAUAUCGUUGCCUGAUGCCAGUUUCCUCGUGAUGGGUGACUGUGCAGGGCGAAUGAUGGCUUCCCGUGAGCAUUGUUGCCUCAUGGUUGGUUGAAAAUUGAGUCCUUGGUAGGGAGCGCCGUGAUAGAUGGUGGUUGAGUGACGAACGAGACCCAAUCAUGUGAGACCCCUACCGAAUUUGGCCUUCAUGACCCACAUGCGUCUUUGGAACGCUCAUGACGAGACCUCAGGUCAGGCGGGGCUACCCGCUGAGUUUAAGCAUAUCAAUAAGCGGAGGA
rnacentral:misc_RNA from 1 species